rnacentral:rRNA from 1 species
UACGUAGGCAGCGAGCGUUGUUCGGAAUUACUGGGCGUAAAGCGCACGUAGGCGGCUUCUUAAGUCGGUGGUGAAAUCCUGGAGCUCAACUCCAGAACUGCCUUCGAUACUGGGAGCUCGAGUCCGGGAGAGGUGAGUGGAACUGCGAGUGUAGAGGUGAAAUUCGUAGAUAUUCGCAAGAACACCAGUGGCGAAGGCGGCUCACUGGCCCGGUACUGACGCUGAGGUGCGAAAGCGUGGGGAGCAAACAGG